rnacentral:lncRNA from 1 species
GUGGUAUGAAAGAGGGGGUAGUCCUCCCCACAUCAUCUGUCCACUUGGCCUUGAAGAACUAAAGAAGCUCUCUUCUAAUAAUCUGGGUAUCAUCUGUCAUUGUCAAGGCACUAUCCUUCAAAAGUCUGAUGCAAUUCUUAUGUCUUUUGACAAUGGUGGACUAGUGGAAGAACUUUGUGUGACGAUCGCCAUCCUGGAUCCAUAUAAUCCUUGAUUUUUGCC